rnacentral:rRNA from 1 species
UACGUAGGUGGCAAGCGUUGUCCGGAUUUACUGGGUGUAAAGGGCGUGUAGCCGGGUCGGCAAGUCAGAUGUGAAAUCUGGAGGCUCAACCUCCAAACUGCAUUUGAAACUGUUGAUCUUGAGUAUCGGAGAGGUAAUCGGAAUUCCUAGUGUAGCGGUGAAAUGCGUAGAUAUUAGGAAGAACACCAGUGGCGAAGGCGGAUUACUGGACGACAACUGACGGUGAGGCGCGAAAGCGUGGGGAGCAAAC